UACGUAGGGUGCAAGCGUUAAUCGGAAUUACUGGGCGUAAAGCGAGCUCAGGCGGUUUUGUAAGUCUGAUGUGAAAUCCGCGGGCUCAACCUGGGAAUUGCAUUGGAGACUGCAAGGCUAGAAUCUGGCAGAGGUGGGUAGAAUUCCACGUGUAGCAGUGAAAUGCGUAGAGAUGUGGAGGAACACCGAUGGCGAAGGCA
rnacentral:rRNA from 1 species